UGCUCACUCUGAGAGCACAGAUACUAAGACGGACUGAUACAGAGAAGAUCAGCAUGGCGGCUGCGAGGAUGGCUCGAAAACUUGAGAAGUGUUCCAUGUUUUU